AGAGUNUGAUACUGGCUCAGGACGAACGCUGCGGCGUGCCUAAGANAUGCAAGUCGAACGGACAGUGGCUUCGGUUACUGUUAGUGGCGAACGGUCGCGUAACACGUAAGAAACCUGCCUUGAAGCGGGGGACAACAGUCCGAAAGGGCUGCUAAUACCGCAUGUGGCCAGUGAGGGGCAUCCCUUACUGUCUAAAGAUUUAUCACUUCAAGAUGGUCUUGCGGCCUAUCAGCUAGUUGGUGAGGUUACGCGGCUUACCAAGGCGACGACGGGUAGCUGGUCUGAGAGGACGAUCAGCCGGAUUGGGACUGAGAUACGGCCCAGACUCCUACGGGGGGCAGCAAUUAGGAAUCUUGCACAAUGGGGGAAACCCUGAUGCAGCGACGCCGCGUGAAGGAUGAAGGUUCUCGGAUCGUAAACUUCUUUUAAGUGGGAAGAAAUUUGACGGUACCACUUGAAUAAGCCCCGGCUAACUACGUGCCAGCAGCCGCGGUAAUACGUAGGGGGCGAGCGUUGUCCGAAGUUACUGGGCGUAAAGCGCGUGUAGGCGGUUUCUUAAGUCUGGGGUGAAAGGUUCAACGCUCAACGUGAACAGUGCCUUGGAUACUGGGAGACUUGAGUUAGGGAGAGGGUAGUGGAAUUCCUGGUGUAGCGGUGAAAUGCGUAGAUAUCAGGAGGAACACCAAUGGCGAAGGCAGCUACCUGGCCUAUAACUGACGCUGAGACGCGAAAGCGUGGGGAGCAAACGGGAUUAGAUACCCCGGUAGUCCACGCCCUAAACGAUGAGUGCUAGAUGUAAGAGGUAUCGACCCCUCUUGUGUCGUCGCUAACGCAUUAAGCACUCCGCCUGGGGAGUACGGCCGCAAGGUUGAAACUCAAAGGAAUUGACGGGGGCCCGCACAAGCGGUGGAGCAUGUGGAUUAAUUCGUCACUAACCGAAGAACCUUACCCAGGUUUGACAUCCUAGGAAUCCUGCUGAAAGGUGGGAGUGCUCGCAAGAGAGCCUAGAGACAGGUGUUGCAUGGCUGUCGUCAGCUCGUGUCGUGAGAUGUUGGGUUAAGUCCCCGCAACGACGCGCCCCCCCUCCCGUAUGUUGCCAGCGUAAAGUCGGGAACUCUUACGGAACUGCCCGUGCAAGCGGGAGGAAGGUGGGGAUGACGUCAAGUCGGCAUGGCCCUUACGCCUGGGGCUUCACACAUGCUACAAUGGGUGGUAACAGAGGGCUGCUAAACCGUGAGGUCAAGCAAAUCCCAAAAAUCCAUCCUCAGUUCGGAUUGUAGGCUGCAACUCGCCUACAUGAAGCCGGAAUCGCUAGUAACCGCAGGUCAGCUAAACUGCGGUGAAUACGUUCCCGGGCCUUGUACACACCGCCCGUCAAGUCACCUGAAUUGUCUGCACCCGAAGCCGGUGGCCAAACUCGCAAGAGAUGGAGCCGUCUAAGGUGUGGGGAGUAAGGGGGACUAAGUCGUAACAAGGUAGCCGUAUCGGAAGGUGCGGUUGGAUCACCUCC
rnacentral:rRNA from 1 species